rfam:Lentinula edodes NBRC 111202 DNA, contig: scaffold127.
GGCGAGAUGGCCGAGCGGUCUAAGGCGCUAGAAUCAGGCACUUGAAUCUAGUCAUUCGUGGCGUGGGUUCGAAUCCCACUCUCGUCA